UUUUAUUAUUAUUUAAUGUUUUUGAAGUUCUAAGGAUAUUUAGUCAGGCCAUUUUCUCUCCGACUUUUCUGCCGCCUUUCAGAUGCUCCCUGAUGAUGACUUGAGGUAACUCUUGACUUUCAGGAGUUCACACCUGUUCUUGUAUCAAUAUAAGAUCUCCCCACGUGGCUUCCAGUUCCUUGCAGGGAAGCAUAGAGCAAUACAAACUUGAAGUAACAAGGUUUGUGUGGGAGCCAUUGCUCUUCCAGGUCUUAGCUGGGUGCGGCAGCUCCGAGCCUCAGCCUUCCUGGAACAGACGGAAGACAUUGCUACUUUCGGAGCUGCGUGAGGGAUCCAUCAAGGUGAUAAAGCAAGAUUUGUCUCAAAAAGAAAGAGAGAAAAGAAAACAGAAAAGGAAGACCUCCACUGUACAGACGAUUUUACAAACGAAAGAACUGAGGCGCCAUGGGGUACAACAAAAAUAUCUCUGCUGCUGGCUGUGGCAUCCCUGGGUUUUGAAUCUCAACUAUUUAACAUGGGAACCUUUGGCUUUAAACAUGAUCCCCAACUCAUUCCUCCACAAGACUGUAAUGUCCUGGGGAGACAAGAAAGCUGCAGAAAAAUAGAAUAACCCCAGGUUUUGGUUUGUUGUGUAGGUGGUUGCAAUUUAUGAGGGAUAGCUUUUUGUUGUUUGAGAUGGGGUCUCAUGUAGCCCAGGCUGGCCUCCAACUUCACGUGUGGCUGAAAAAGACCUUGAACUUCUGCUUCCCUCACUUCUCAGAUGUGUGCUUACAGGCAUGCCUAUAGCAUCGUGCCCAGAUUCCAGUGUUUCUACAUUCCUUAAGUGUUUCACAAUGAGCAGUUACCUUUUCAAUCAAAAAUAAAAUAUUAAGAGCCUGGA